UGAGGAAUAUUGGGCAAUGGGUGAAAGCCUGACCCAGCCAUGCCGCGUGCAGGAUUGACGGCCCUAUGGGUUGUAAACUGCUUUUGUAUGGGAAGAAACCCUCGAACUUGUUCGAGGUUGACGGUACCGUACGAAUAAGCAUCGGCUAACUCCGUGCCAGCAGCCGCGGUAAUACGGAGGAUGCAAGCGUUAUCCGGAUUUAUUGGGUUUAAAGGGUGCGUAGGCGGGACAGUAAGUCAGUGGUGAAAGCCUGCAGCUUAACUGCAGAAUUGCCAUUGAAACUGCUGUUCUUGAGUACAGUUGAAGUGGAUGGAAUGUGUUAUGUAGCGGUGAAAUGCAUAGAUAUGACACAGAACACCGAUAGCGAAGGCAGUCCACUAAACUGUAACUGACGCUGAGGCACGAAAGCGUGGGUAGCAAACA
rnacentral:rRNA from 1 species